GGAGGGGAGGAGAAUUUCAUAUUUUUCCUUCAUCAAAACUAGGAGUAAACACUUAAAAUUAGUAAACCCAAAUAAGCCUUGGAAUUAUUAAGUGGAGGAACACAAUCGGGUGGAAGAAUUAACAAGAAGAAAAGUGAAGAGUUGGUGAAGAAAAGAGGGGGAAGAGUGGCUGACUACAUACAAGGAGAAGAAGGCUAAGAUUCUUCUAAAAAUUUGUGAAGUAAAGUUUAGAUUUCCAUCCAAGAGGAACCGCGGGAGGAGUACAGCAACCACAGGGGAACGCAAGUCGAGCGUCUACAGCAGGUCCCUCCCAUUCACGUCAGGAAUAGAUUUUAAGUUCUUUGAUCCCUUUUUGUAUAAGUUAAGAACUUAGGGAUUUGUGGUGUAAUUUUGUCAUGCAGUAAACAUGUAACCUGUAUAGAAUAUUAUAUUCGUAAUAUUUUGUUUCUGAAAUAUUAAAUGUAUCCACCUAUGCUUGGGAUAUUAGAAUGUACUAGACUAUGUUAGAAUAUUAAACUGUG